CGCACGCGCCUUCCCACGCCAUGCCCGCGCGCCGGAGCAGCACCGCUGCACCGGCGGCCGAGGCCGCGCUCCUCCCGGCCCCCCUGCGCGCGGAGUCGCUGCCGCGGCACGUGGCGGUGGUGAUGGACGGGAACGCGCGGUGGGCGCGCGCGCGGGGGCUGCCGUCCGCGGCCGGGCACGAGGCCGGGCGGCGCGCGCUGGAGGAGACGGUGCGGCUCUCCCGCGCCUGGGGCGUCCGCGCGCUCACCGCCUUCGCCUUCUCCCACGAGAACUGGAGCCGGCCCAAGGUGGAGCUGGAAUUCGUAAUGGGGCUGUUUGAGCGGGUGAUCCACGAAAGCGUCGCUGGGUUCUUGAGGGAAGGAAUUUGGCUACGUGUAAUCGGCGACUCCUCGAGACUGCCGGUCUCUCUACAGAAGACAGCAAGAGAAGCAGAGGAGGCCACAAGGAACAACUCCCAGCUCGACCUGACACUGGCGAUAAGCUACAGCGGGCGGAGGGACAUAGUGCAAGCAUGCCGGAGCCUGGAGGCUGAGCAACUUCCUGCUGUGGCAGUCGGCGUACUCGGAGCUCUUCUUCACGGACACGCUGUGGCCCGACUUCGGGGAGGACGACUACCUGGAGGCCCUGGUCUCCUUCCAGAGCAGGGAGAGGCGGUUCGGUGUCAGGAAAUUGUAGCGCAGACAUGAGGAAGGCGUGCUUGAACGGUCAUUAGCAGGAUGUCGUCGAACAAGAUGCUUAGAAGAUUACACUGUAGAGGGGAACUCGAACUAAGCAUUGGAGAUGGCAGAUGUGAGAUGUCCUUUUGUAGUGGUGCUACGCUACGCAGAAGAGUAAUGGGAGUCACGACCACUUGAACUUGUAGGAAAAGAAGGCAUGGCCAAAAUAGGGUCACAGGUUCCAUUAUAAAAAAUUGAAAAUCAGUAGUCAGAAAUAAUUCACCACAAUUUCUUGAUACUGGAUAAGCAAGUUGAUGCUUCAAAAACACGUCUAUGCUAAUUACAUGUGCCACAAAUAAUUUUGAAUAUAGUUUAAACCAACAGAACUAGCUGAUGUGAAUAAGUUGUAAAACUGACAAACUAAACAUCUGUUGAUCAUCGAAUCAGAGGAGAUGCAUAUACAAUUGAAUAAUCAAAAUAUGCAACUUCUUUGCACCAGGUUCAGGAAUUUUCUUAGGAAUAUCAUCAAAACCCUGCGAAAGAACAAUCUGAGUCAAAGAUCAGAAGUAACAAAAGAUCAUUCAGAAAGUCCAUUUGUAACAGUAAAGUCUACUAGGCUCAUAUUGUCCUAAUGACACUUUUAUGCUAAGUCUUUGUGAGCUUAGAAAAUAAUCUGAGAGAAGAUGAUGAAACUUCCAUGCCAAUGCCGAUUACCAUGAAAUUGGUGUAAAAUUAAAACCCUAGUACUAAUAAAGCAUCUACAAUUUGGAGCAAAGAUACAUAUGGCUGUCAUCAGGAUCGGGAAUGUAUCUCUUAUCAACCCAAUCUUCUAUCGGUAACCAUUAGCGUGGUACAUUAAGCAUCAGGACGAAUGGUCUCGGUGUUGUCUGGGUUAAAAACAUUCAGACCUCCAACCAUCAGUUGUACUUACUAACCUAAACAUUAGCUGGAGUUAUAUUGGGAUUUGGAGAAAAACCAAUGAUUGCUUAGUAAACAUUAAUUCUGUAACCACCAAAUACAUAUGACAUUAAACAUCCUCAUUUCACAUCACUCUAGAAAUCAUCCUCAGCUAACUGUAUGUCACAGGUAUAGGAAAAUGAUAACACAAAAACACAAGAAAUUAUAACAAAAAAAAACAAAAAACUUACACUGCUACAUAAGGGUGUAAUUCUAGUAAAUGACAAUAGUAAUUUGUAAUUAAACUAUCUAAAACAGUUUUGUACGACCUUUCAAACCCUGCCAAUAUUUAGACAAAAAAUUACAUUAGAAAUUAUGUGACAAUUCUAUGACCUCAAAUAUUUAGACAAAAAAAGUUACACUGAUAUUGACAAUUUUGUGACAUCUCAAGUAUUUAGACAAAAAUUACACUAGAAUUUACUAUGAUUUUCACAGCUUAUAGUACGAUGAAACUAGAACUAAAUUAGGAAAAUGAAUUAAAUUGAUUUGCAACAGUUAUGUGAUCAAAGGAUGUUGAUGAUACUUUUAGUGUACUUAGAGAUCAGACGUUGUAAACACUACACAAUAUAGAGAUGUAGAGCACAUGCCUCCAAUAGGCAGCUUAAAUACUAAUGAUGCUAAAAUAAUUAAUCUCUAUAAUACAAUGAAGCCGUAGGAAAUAAAAAUAUUGUCCAAAGCUUCAAUAUUUGUGCAAUAUGAAUAACUGAAUAGCUAUGUGCAUCAAUUUAACUCUAGCACCACAAUUCCACAAAUAUAUCAGAUAUAUAUGAUGAUUCUAAAAACAAUAGCUCAAAAUGUCACCAGAAAAAAAAAUUGACUCGAAAAUUACACAAGAACUUCCACUAGUAAACUCUAUAUACAGGUCACAACAAAGUCUAGUUUCUUUCGGUAUUCGACAAACAAAUGGAUGUGAUAAUCUAGGUCAACAAAAUUAAA